rnacentral:misc_RNA from 1 species
UCUCCGUGGGUGAACCAGCGGAGGGAUCAUUAUCGAGUUUAUAACUCCCAAACCCUAUGUGAACUGACCAGUUGUUGCUUCGGCGCGCGCGUCGGCGCUGCCGAGGAAACUUAAACUCUUUGUUUUUAUAAGCAUUUCUGAGUGGCCGAAAGGCAAACUACAAAUGAAGCAAAACGUUCAACAACGGAUCUCUUGGUUCUG